rnacentral:tRNA from 1 species
UGCUCAGAUAGUUUAAGUAAAACGUUGGUCUGUGGAUCCAAAGAUAUAAUUUUGUUAUUUUGGGCAG